rnacentral:tmRNA from 1 species
GGGGGCGAAAGGACUCGACGGGGGUAGCGAAGUUCAGGUGGCAUGCCGUGGUCCCGUCACCACGUAAAAAGACGGGAAAAACACAAACGCCAACAGCGAACUCGCACUCGCUGCUUAAUAAAUAGCAGCGCACCACUGGGGAGAUGCCUGCUAUCCUCAGAUGGUGUGGGCAAGCAGGCUGGUCUUGACCACCCUGCCCUCGGGUGGCAAGACGAGAACCAUGAGGGAUAGGAUAGUGAGUGGCCUGCCUGUCGGCAGCUCAUUAUCCGAAAUUCAAUAGAUAGGCUAAGCAUGUAGAUGCCUGAACGUAGUGCUUCCGGACGUGGGUUCGAUUCCCACCGCCUCCACCA